rnacentral:rRNA from 1 species
CGGCAACAGCUCAAAUUUGAAAUCUGGCUCUCGGGCCCGAGUUGUAAUUUGUAGAGGAUACUUUUGAUGCGGUGCCUUCCGAGUUCCCUGGAACGGGACGCCAUAGAGGGUGAGAGUCCCGUCU